AAGUCUAUCAUGCUAUUAGUGUUGAUC
rnacentral:piRNA from 1 species